rnacentral:rRNA from 1 species
UCUUAUUUGAGAGUUCAUAUCGACAAUAAGGGUUGCGACCUCGAUGUUGGAUUAGAAUUCCUUUUUGGAGCAGAAUCUAAAAAUGGUGGUCUGUUCGACCAUUGAAAUU